CCUCCCGCACCUAUUGAGGCCACCUACUAAGCCCCCUCACUGAAUGCGCUCAAAGGUUGUGCAGUGCUGACCCAUCUCUUCCGACCGAUUGAGGACGAGGGCUGAAGACUCCUUUAGAGUCCGAAGAACGAUAAAAGCGAAGGGAUAGUGGUCGUAAAGGAGCACGAUUAUCUGUUUUAUGUACAACGUUUCUUCUUUCUUUAUUCUUUCUAUUCUCUAUUUCCUUUUCAUCUGUCCCUAAAUUCUCCUACCUAUCGUUUUCAUAUUUAUACUGUAUGUGACGUCACAGUUUUUCAUGCAUGAUAUACUUGCGGUACUUGGGGGUGAAUUCUUUCUUUCUCUUGAUCAGUGAUCUAGCACUGGGACUAUUUCAGCUGCUCUGUGCAACUUCCUCGGGGAAUUUCCGCUCUUCACAGUCUCUUUGAUGCCAAUUCGCGAUGGCGUAUACGGAUUGUCGUCUUCGCCCAAAAUGGCUGGUAAAGCUGAUCAGCUUGUCGAGCUGCGAAUUACGUUAUACGAAAAAAAAAAGCCCGCUGGACGGACCUUUUUUCCAGAUUUUUCUUCUCUCCUCUUCCUAGUUUUCUUAUCCUUUUUUCUACGAUCCUAUCUUCUUAUAUCUCUUCUAUCGCUUUUCCUCCACCACAUCUAUUCACAAAAUCAAUCUUUUAAUAAUUUCAAAUUUAACUUUCCGUCGCGCACUUCUUACUUCCUUAAGCGGUCUAAGUCGUUUGCCGGCACUGCUCAUUCACCGAGCUUUUCUUUUUUUCAGCUAAUGUGCGGGAAAAAAAUAAGUUUUUUCUUUGCCUAGUUGGCUACCCCGUUCGAUGACGGUAGGCCAACUGGAUAGUGUGUCGCGGUGGGUAUUAUUUACCCAGGACUCCAACCAUUUGUGUAUAUCUAAAAAUCAUCCAGUAACCGGCGGCUUGGAAUAAAUUUAAUUUAUUUUUCAUACCUUUCUGUGAAUUUGGGUGGAGCUCAAAUUGCGCUUUUGAACCAACGGUUACAUUACCCCCCCGUCUAGGUUGAAAAUAAAUGGAAUUUAUUUUCGUUAACCGAAUACGUUUAUCCUCUAUUCCAAAAGCAUUUCCCCUCUCAAGAAAUGAAUUCAAAUUUCAAACAUUUAUUUCUUCAAAGUCACUCAUUUAUCAGUAAUGCCACUCUUAAAGAAAACGAAUUAAACGAAUGUACCCAAUAUAUAACUGUCAACCUUUUAGUGUUACGUAGUGAAUAGGUGAUUUAUCCGACUAAAGCGGGUCGAUAUCUCCCAAUGUUUUCAUCGUACGCGUAUUUUGUUGUGGUCUAGUUCUUUUUCGGUUUUCGCACACCAUCUGUCCCAUUAGAACCAACUAGGAAACAUGUGAGGUCCUAGGCCUAUUCGGAGUAAUCAUGUGGUCUCUUCUCUUUCUUAGCUUUGGCCACCUAUGAGCAGAACGGACAAAAAUAACUGAUAGUGCUCUUGGUCGUACAUCAUGUGUCUAUCGGCUUCAAAUCUGCCGCGGAGAAAAUACCUAUGGGUUUUCCACCCUCGUCUUCCAAAUCAUAACAAUUUGUGCCAACUCUCGCGAUUACUGUACAUGGAACGUAACAAGGACCGAAUUUGGCAUUGUAGUUACUUGGCGCUGACGACUGCCUAAAAUUUCUUUUGAGAACUUUCUGUCCUACUGAGUAUGAAGGUUUCUUCGAACCAGGUCGUAAAUAAAGUGAUCGAUGGCG